CCCCGAGAGAAAGAGGCGGCGUCCACCCGGCAGAUUUAUGGAGGAAACAGAGUAACCUAGAAGUGAGAAGGGAUCAGAUGUAAAAGGAAAAGAAGAUGGGGUAAGAGUGGACGGCGUGCUAAGGGCGUCAGGAUAAUCAUUACCUUCAAGACCAAAAAUCCGGUCUCCCAGUGCAUCCACAAUGUCUGUCAGGGCGGCCUCAUCUGUGACGUUGAAGAAGAAUCGCUCGUCUGGAUCACUAGCGAUGUCUCUGAUUUCCCGAAGAAAAGAGCUAGGGUCUCUCUGUCGCCGGAGAUAGUGACCAAGGACCUGAGUUCAAGAUGGGGGUCUAUUAGCUGUGUGAAAUCCAGAGUCUAUUCUUGGUCUGGGAAAAUAACUCAGUGAGUAGAGUGCUCGCCACGUGAGCCUGACAGCCUGAGUUCAGAUCCCCAGACCCCAUAAAAUCAUAAAAUGCUGGACGGUAGCACAAGCUUUAUCUGCAAUCCUAGCAGGCUCCACCAGGAGACAGGAAGCUGAGUCAGAAGACUGGCCCAAACCUGUGGGCCAGCUGGCCUGGCCUAUUGCAUACAGCUGAACAAGAGACCCAGUCUCAAACAAGGUGGAAGCCUCACAGGCCUUUAGUGCUGCUGGAAGGUCCUCUCCAUCGUGGGAUUCUCCAUCAGUGACAACCACCAGCAGCCUGGCAGCCUCGGGUCUG